CAUGACUGACAUCCAGGCCUGGGUUCACCAACUGCUCUACCCAGAAGGACCCGAUAAGGAAUGGCGGUGAAUGUUUUGGAAAAUGGUAGCACCUACCACGGGGGAAGAUGUCUGUUAUUUAUUGUGGCCAGAGCAUAAGGGAAGAUAGAGGGUUCGUGAGAAAUGAGACGGGAUAUUAAGGCAGAAAAUAGAUAAUGGAGGACUUUGUGGCACAGAGAAGCUUGGACCAGGCGAAAUCAGAAAACCGGACCCCCCUCCCCUAGAGCUCUGCCCUAGAGCUGAACAAUGAAGGCAGCGGGGCCGUACCGUGGCGUAAGAAUAAGCUUGGAGUCGGGAAAAGGAAACAAGACCAUGGGGUCCCACCUCUGCGAUGCCUGGAGGGUGAGCUCUCAGGGGGAUGGUGACGGUUCCGUGAUUCUCUGGGGCUUCUGCACGAUGCAUCUGGAGAGAAGCGUGGCUGGAGCACGUGAUAGAAGAGGCCGUGGUAUCGCACAGAAACUUCCACCGUGGGGAGUCAAAAACGUCUACUGCAGACCCAAGGCUGCUUGCAGCAGGAGUUGGGACGGUCCAGGGCGCGUAAGGAGCUGGCAAGGAGGUGCUUGGUGUCCUCAGGCCGCCCCGCCUUCAAGCCUGGGGAUUUACCGGGCACUUCUCUCAGCGGCAGCGUGA
rnacentral:lncRNA from 1 species